GGACCUAUAGCACAAUGGUGAGUGCAUCCGGCUCAUAACCGGACGGUUUUUGGUUCGAGUCCAAAUAGGUCCACCA
rnacentral:tRNA from 1 species